UCGCUACUACCGAUUGAAUGGCUUAGUGAGCUCUCUGGACUGUCGCACAUGAAGGGAAACCUUUGUGAGCGUACGGGAAGGAGAUCAAACUUGAUCAUUUAGAGGAAGUAA
rnacentral:rRNA from 1 species